rnacentral:rRNA from 1 species
UGGGGAAUCUUCCGCAAUGGACGAAAGUCUGACGGAGCAACGCCGCGUGAGUGAUGACGGCCUUCGGGUUGUAAAGCUCUGUUAAUCGGGACGAAUGGUUCUUGUGCGAAUAGUGCAAGGAUUUGACGGUACCGGAAUAGAAAGCCACGGCUAACUACGUGCCAGCAGCCGCGGUAAUACGUAGGUGGCAAGCGUUGUCCGGAAUUAUUGUGCGUAAAGCGCGCGCAGGCGGAUUGGUCAGUCUGUCUUAAAAGUUCGGGGCUUAACCCCGUGAUUGGAUGGAAACUGCCAAUCUAGAGUAUCGGAGAGGAAAGUGGAAUUCCUAGUGUAGCGGUGAAAUGCGUAGAUAUUAGGAAGAACACCAGUGGCGAAGGCGACUUUCUGGACGAAAACUGACGCUGAGGCGCGAAAGACAGGGGAGCGAACGGG